GAUGAACGCUGGCGGCGUGCCUAAUACAUGCAAGUCGAGCGAACGGACGAGAAGCUUGCUUCUCUGAUGUUAGCGGCGGACGGGUGAGUAACACGUGGAUAACCUACCUAUAAGACUGGGAUAACUUCGGAAAACCGGAGCUAAUACCGGAUAAUAUUUUGAACCGCAUGGUUCAAAAGUGAAAGACGGUCUUGCUGUCACUUAUAGAUGGAUCCGCGCUGCAUUAGCUAGUUGGUAAGGUAACGGCUUACCAAGGCAACGAGGCAUAGCCGACCUGAGAGGGUGAUAGGCCACACUGGAACUGAGACACGGUCCAGACUCCUAAGGGAGGCAGCAGUAGGGAAUCUUACGCAAUGGGGGAAAGCAUGACGGAGCAACGCCGCGUGAGUGAUGAAGGUCUUCGGAUCGUAAAACUCUGUUAUUAGGGAAGAACAUAUGUGUAAGUAACUGUGCACAUAUUGACGGUACCUAAUCAGAAAGCCCCGGCUAACUACGUG
rnacentral:rRNA from 1 species